UCAGCCUGUGGUGGGCGAUGCGGAAGAGCACGUGUUAGUCACCUCAUCUACACUAAGCGUGGCCAGAGCCAACACUGAAGACCAAGCUGGAGCUACCGUCUUCUCCUAUUGAUCACCCAUCUCUGAGCGCCCGCCUGGUCCUGAUCAGGUCCCGAGGGAAAAGGUCAGCUGUAGCCGUGUGAAGCGGGAAGAGGUGGUUAACACAUAGGUUAACCCGUAUGUAUCUGUUAGCCAGUAGCUGAGAGCGAGAGCUCACGCAGACUGGGUGGCAUCCUGACUCUGCCAGUUAGAAGCUGCCGCAGUACAGUUUUGGAGACUACCUUUGCUGUCCUACUUAGAGCUCUCUGCUACCCCAGCAUAUCACGUUCUCUGACAGGAGAAUCCUGUCCCUCACUCAGAGAGCUUUCCUGGGAAAUUCUUAAGAGGUCACCUUCAUGUGCCCAAGCAUCGCAAAGAUUGUAUCACCACCCAGCAAUAAUCCAUCUCGACAUCCGAACCGGGCAGCACCACAGUGGCAUUCCUGUCCCCAGCAUUCUCCCCGGGUCUGACUGGAGUCCGAUUCCAGCUGCAUCCGUAGCCAUAGAAGGAUUCGCUCUACCCUUUGACCCUUGCACGUUUACCGGAAAUACACUUUUCAAACAACCGCAAAAGGCAUUUAUCUGAGAAGUCCUCCUCUGAGAUCUGAGAUGAGAAACCUGGUCCGAGACAGACUCCCUGGGCUUCAGUUUUCUCAUAUCUAAAAAGGACCGCUGGUAUCAGGCCCACGUACACUAAGCAGAGCAGGUGAGCGAUGGGUGGUGUGGUGCGUGCGACAGAUCAGUCAUCCAAAUGACUGUGUGGUCACUAGCGCCGGCUUCCGUCUGCUCAGUCACCUGGAUACUUUGCUCUAAGGUAAGUCAGUUUGUGUGUUAUUGUGGGGAUUUGGGGGGCACCCCGUGGGGUUUGACAAUGUAGACUCGGAGACAUCUGAACAGUGUAAGGCUGUUUGCCGGUUUGCUGGAGCAGUCUCUCCCUCUGCCCAAACUCGGCCACCAACUGUUUUCUCCUCACUUUCCACACUUCCUUCUCACACAGAAAAAGCUAUUAGCGUGCAUAGUGGGAGAGAUUCCUCCCCCAAGGCAGCUAGGUUUCCUUUUUGGGCAGGCGAGGAAGUGAUAAACAUUUAUAUAUCCUGCCAGCCUGGAGCUGCUGGAGCGAUUAGCAAUUGAGAACACAGGGACACACCUUCAUAGGUGGUUGAUACAGAAUGUGUGUGUGUGUGUGUGUGUGUGUGUGUGUGUGUGUGUGUGUGUGUGUGGUCACCCCAAUAGUAUAUGAAUCCUAUUCAUAUUGGCCCAGGCACUGAAUUUCUCUUUGAGCCAGAUAUAUAGGCACCAGGAUAAGGAUCCUUCGAGAUCAACACCGUUUAGUCUCUGUAAGUUAGAAGAAUGGUAUUCUUGUUACUAACUGUGAGGCUGGCUCCUACGUCAGGCUCUUCUCAACUGUCUGGUUCAUUCCUCAAACUUGCAAAGACCCUACAAUCCACUCAGAGGGUAGAACAUCCUAGCAAGAACCUUGGAAGGUCUGGAGCCCAAGCUUAUAUUCAGGAAGCAAAGAGAAAUGAACCUCGAGGAGCAAAGCUGAGCAGUCUUAGGCAGAGUUUGCAUCUCUGUAAGUAGAUUUUAAUAUAAAUAAUAUGUACAAAUUCAUAGUAAGAUUUAUAGCAGUAACAACCCCGUUUCUUCAGCUAUGCCCACUGGUCCUUGGGCACCGUAUGCCACCCUGCCACCCACAGGCAGCACGAAGUGUUCAGAGUAACCCGUCCAUAAUAAACUGCGGAAGAGCAAGGGUUCGUCCGACACCAUGGGUGUUCAAAGUUAGACAUCAGCUAGCUUGGCUCGUCUGGAAAGGCUCACAAAACAAGCCAGCUUUGUCUGCGGGCUGAUGGCCCUACCAUCCCUGUAUGGUCACAUCCCAGUGCAGCCAGUCUGAAAAUGCAGUCGGCUAAUAAACACAAGUGGAUGUAAAACUGAAGGAAACCACCAGACUGUCCCUGGUCUCCCCAGGGCUCCGAGGCAGGACCACGGAACUGGCAACAGAUUUUUCAGUUGUGUGCAAGGCUCAGGGUCCACAGGAAUGGGUAAGUUGGUGAUAUUUACUCAGUCACACCGGUCUCCACAUACUGGGCAGUGGCAAGCCGGUGUUGCCACCAUUUUCCUUGUUUAAAUGAGAAAACGCUCCUGUUUGAUCUGACCCGCGUAUCCUAAAUUCUCUUACUCUGAUUUUUCUCAUCUCCACGUUUUAUCUUGUUGAGAAGAUACCCGGGAACUUUACACAUCUCAAUAUGGAACAAAGUAAGAAGGGCGGGUGUAAACAAAAACUCAGGAAAAGAUUGACUCAGACAGAUUGAUGUUUUUUUGACCAAGCUUACAGCCAAAAGAGGGCACCAGACGCCUGUAACCUCUGAACCGCCCUAAAGGCGAACACUGUUGUUUAUUGCUUUGUUUCUGCUGUUGAAACUCUUCUCGUUUGUCACAGAAGGAUGGGGACGUAGCUUAAGAGCAAGGACGAGAAGCCUCUUCUAGACCUGGAGGGAGCAGGUAGCAGCAUGACGGAGCCUGAAGCGCUCACGGUCUUACCCAGUGAUGGUUUGUGUGUGGGGGUAUUGGUGGGAUGCAGAGAUGGAGAGCACCCUCCCCAAACCUGUCGGAAACUUACAUAAUUGAUCCGGAAGUGUCUGCUGGCCCAGUCCUCCUGUUCUUCCUCAGAGACCAUCUCCACGGUGAUGUCUCCAUAAGCAAUGGGUUCUUCCGUGAAUGGCCAGUAGUGGUCGCAUUUUACCUGAGGCAACAAUAACGCCACCAUUUUAAAAGACAAAGCGGAGCCAAGAAGUAACCAGGGAAGAAACAGUCUGUGCUCACUGCAGGGCAGCAAUGAUCCCCUCCUUUCCAAAGAAAACAUGCAGGCCCAUGGAGAAGGUGAAGACUAGGCACCUUCAGUCCCCCUUCCUGACAGUGGACAAACACCCAGGGCUGUGAACGGGGCAGGCAUGGCCAACCGGCCCUCAGGCACAUAGGUACACACCCUUCUUUUCUCAUUGCACUGAGUGAGCAUGACAAUGAUGCGAGACUUCUGCUGCAGGACCAUCUUCCAGAAAUCAUUUCUGGUUUCCGGCAGUGGUCCCUGGGUGGCAAUGUACUCCUGAGGUGAGUUGUAGCCCUGAAAGGAGAGUGAGAACGUCAACACUUCGCCAGCCAGCGUCACUGCCCCCUGAGUGCUGUUGGGCGUUCUAACCCUGCCAGGACGGCUGACAUCCUGCUGAUGGAGGAAGUUGGCAAAGGAUCACACACCUAUCAAAUGUUUCCUUCAGCUUAUCAUGAAAGCGGAAUAUAAUUGGCAUUAAUGUAGUCUGCUCCUUCUUCUUCAUUCAUGGAGACCAGCCUCACUCUGCUGAAGUCGUCUAUGAAGACCAGAGAGAAAAGACACAUUAAAAAAAAAACCGGAAUGGAAGGCAAAA